rfam:Ixodes scapularis strain Wikel colony gcontig_1107729081440, whole genome shotgun sequence.
GCAGUCGUGGCCGAGUGGUUAAGGCGAUGGACUAGAAAUUCAUUGAGGUCUUCCUGCACAGGUUCGAAUCCUGUCGACUGCG